AAGGCCACGUGGCCCCUGCCUGGAAGACGGCGCCCACCCCCCGCAAAGGGAGGGCACCAAGGGCAAGACCCCGGGGUGCCUGGGUUCUCCUGGCUUCCCCAGCCCCGUGCCAACUCGGGGAUUCCGGAGGAGUGAGCGGAGAAAUAGAGGAAGCCUUUCCCAGGACAUCCCACCCCGUCAGUCAUGAUGCGUCAUGAAUGAGGUCCCUCCCUCCACUCCCGGAUCAGCCUGUUACCCGGGAGGCGUGCCGAGGACACUUAGGCGAGCACAGCACGUAUUCCCUGCAUUUUCCUCGCCCGUCCUGGACAGCCCAGGGGCAAAGCCUGGAGAGGACUGGAAGGUGAGGGGGGGGUGGGCUCCAGAAGAAACUGUGUGAACGGGGCAAGGACGGAACCAGCCACCACACCGCUGCCCGCCCAGCCUGAACCCACCCCUUGCGUUUUUCUGGUCCUGCCUGAAGAACCAUUUCCUGAGCUGUGGUGUGUGUACACAAAGAAGGAAGGAAACUUUAAGAGCAAAAGGAAGGCGCACUGGGCUGGGCUGGGCUGAGAACCAGUUUCCAGGAUCACUAUCUUCAAGCGAAACACACCAAGCCCCUUCUGGACAUUGCUCCCCAGUUAUCACCUGCAGGCAGGCUGGGGAGGAGGAGCCAAGACUCCGAAGAAAGGAGUAUUCCUCUGUUUCUGCCAGGCAUGUGCUGGGCACAGGGCCAGCGAGGUGAGGAAGUUGAUGGCCCUGUCCUCUGCCAGCAGGCAGAACCAAGCCCACACUGUGAAUAGACGCAGAAACCCCUGGUGGCAGCUGGACUAGCUCAGAGGGAGGGGCAGGAGGUGCCGAUGCCCCAGAGGGAAAAAGAAAAAGAUUUCACAGAGGUGGGUGGUGCUCUCCCAGGGGAGCUUGGCGAAUAAAAGGGCAAGCAUCAGUUCCAGUGCCAAGGAAAGGGCCAGGUGUAAAA